rnacentral:lncRNA from 10 species
AUGUGGUUUGAAAGAGGUUCAAAAACUAACACCCCAAACUGGGUCAGAUCCCCUUGUUAUACCCUGUACUUUUCCUUUGUAUUGAUUGUCGAAGCUCAUAGCUAGAUAUUUGUGUGACUUUGUUCACAUUAGAUUUAGGGCAUGGGCUGUAACCAUUUGCUCACUGUUUUUGCAUAGAAUAAUGCCUGGCACAUAGUUAGGGCUCCAUAAAAAAAAAAAAAUCACUGACUGAGUAAGCUAGAUUUGCUGACUGGCAUAGCAGCUGGAAAGAUAGGUCUGUUUGCAGGAGUUGGGUACCUGAGGUCAUUGGGACAGACAUCAGAUCCUAGGCCAGCCCAUAAGUCAACCCUGAAGGCUUAGAUAUGAGGAGUUGGGGGAGAGGGAUCAAUAGUAAUGAGAGCUCCAGCAACAGAUAAGCUUCUGAAUUCAGACAUAUAAUCCAAGAAAUCACAGGCAAGUGACUCGAUCCUAGGUCCAAGGCUAUAAUCUAAAUAGUCAGAUUUCAGUUACUAGAAGGCAGAAUGAUAUAGCAGAAAAGGCAUGAGUUCAGAGCCAGAAAAGAUCUAGAUACAAACCUUCAUUUGGUAACUCACAGCUGUAUGGUGUUGUGAUUGUCAAUUGGAACCCUUUUUAAAUAUCUUUAAAUUACCUGAAAGAUGGGAAUAAAUCUCAUCUUGUAAAGCUGUGGAAACACUUGAUAACUACCAAAUAUUGGGCCCUUAGUAUAGGCCAGGUGUGUGUGUUAACACUUUAUACACAUUAGCUCUCUUGCACUUCACAAUUAUUCUAUGCUACAGGAACUAUUGUCACCCUUUUACAGAGGAGGAAACUGGAAGUCAAAUAGCCCCAGCUGUGGAGAGAGGCAGGUUAGAAGGGAAGAACCUGGGUGGGUGCAGAUUGCAGAGAUCCACAUUGGAAAAGAGAUGGCUUACCUUUCCUGCUUUCACCCAUAGAUGUCAUCAUGAUCCCCUCGGUGUGCAGAAGUAUUCGCCUUGGAGUUUGCAGAGCUGAGUUGUAACUACACCUUGACCCCAGUUAGCUGUAAGACUCUGGGUGAACCAAAUCUGGGUACAAUUUGCAAAGAAGCCACAAUGAUGUGGGACCAGGAACCCAGCAGUGAGACCUGGAGUGAAGGCAAAGUGAACAGCUUCUUCCAGCCUGGGCUCAACAAACCAGAUUUGCCACAUUUACUCACUGGGUGAGCAGGUCCUUGUGCUUUUUCCAUGCAAAGCUCAUCCCUGAGACCCUGGAGGUAGAGGAUUGGUGUAUGACAUGAAUGAAUCAGACAUCGUUUCUGCUCUCACAGCUUUAACAGUCAAGCAGAGGCAACUGAACAAUCUUCGAUACAAACACAAAGUACAGAAGGAUCUAUCCUAAGAGAUGGGUGCACAUAGAUCCUUUAGAUUUCUCAUGCCUCAAAUUUAAUUUCCUCUUCCACAGCUACCUAGAAUGAGCUUACUUUAUCAGCAGUGGCACUACUGUACCUUUGGUGGUUUAGGUAAUUGGAAUUAUCCUUGGAGCUUUCCUUUCCCUAACCUCCAUAUGAUGAGGUUGUGAUUUAUUAACCAUAAUCACAUGUUCAACUGAAACUUGUUUUCAAAACAUGUUUUGAAGCUGCCCUCUUCUAUCAAGCCUCCUUUUAAGCAUCCUUUCCAAGCCACCACCUUCUCUUAUCUGCCAAUAGCUGAAGUUUCCUUACAGUUCUAUCUGUAUUUACAUUAUAUCUUUAAAAUCCAUUCUGAACUCUAUUGAUAGAACAAUCUUCAAAAUAGAAAUUUGAGCAUUUUAUUUUCUAAGAUAUGAGUUUUAGAUUGCUUUCCAUUUUCUCUGGGAGUGAGAUGCACAAUCCUUGGCUGGCCUGGUGUCAAAGCGUUCAGUGACUAGCCUUUGCCCACACUUAUCCCUAUAGCUUCACCUUCAGCCACUCACUGCCUUCAACUUUCUCCUUAGCUCUACAGACCAACCUCAGAGUCCUGAGCAGGACAUAUUGUUUUUCACAUAAGGACACUUAAACAAAAAUCGGUCUCCUCCAGCUGAAAUCAUUUCCUCCGUUUCUGCUGCUCAUUUCCUGGGUGAAUCCAGAUUAGGUUCCCUUUGGUACGUUGCUCCUUCAUAACACUCACUCUGGUGGGAAAUUAAUUUAACAUCUUUUUCCACUAAACUGUCAGUCCCAUGAGGACAGGGGUUGUCUGCUUCAUUUACUGCUGCAUUUAACUUUUGGCACAGUACCUGACAGUCAAUACAUAUUUGUUGCAUGGAGGAGCCCAGGAACUAAAAUGAAGAGUCAGAAAAAAUGAGAAUAAGACCUAAUUGUGGAGGGCUCCAAAUGCCAAGCAAAGGAGAGAAAACUUGAAAUGCAAAACCUAUCUCCAAAACCUUCCCAUGGCCCCUUUGCAGCUGCUCUCUUUUUCAUUGCUCCUGAUAUAAGACUUCUCCUCUGCCAUCUUGUUUCUCACUCCCUGCCAUGUCAAGGGCACACACAAUGAUUUGUUUUCCUCUGUAUCCUCAACAACUGGCACAGGGCUAGCUAAAGAGUGCUGCAAAUAUCAGCCAAUCUAGCCUAGGUUAUGCUACACUGAAAAAUCACACCCAAAUCUCAACAGAGAUCUAUUUCUUGCUCAUGUAAAGUUCAUUGCAAGUGUAGCUGGGUCUCCAAAGUAGCUGGCCUCCAUGCCAUGGUCAAAUACAUGUGACAAUAACUUCCAUGUCAACAUGUGCUUCCAAGCUCAAAAUGACAGGAGAAGAGCAAGCUUGGCAGAACAAACUUGAGCAAAUAAGUGUGCCCGUCUACUGACCCCAUCACUCUUACAUUUCAUUAGCCAAAGCAAUUCACACGGCCAUGCUUAAUUUCAGGAAGACAAAAAUAUAUGUGCAAUUCUCCAUUUUUCUGGAAAUGGAGGGGAAAUGGCUAUUAGUAAAUAGUAGGAAUGUAUGCCCCAGACCUGAACAUACAAACCAUUCCUCUUUUUUUUUUUUUUUUUUUUGACAGACUCUCGCUCUGUUGCCCAGGCUGGAGUGCAGUGGUGCAAUCCCAGCUCAUUGCAUCUUCCACUUCCCGGGUUCAAGCGAUUCUCCUGCCUCAGCCUCCUGAGUAGUGGGACUACAGGCACCCACCACCACACUCGGCUAAUUUUUGUAUUUUUAGUAGAGACUGGGUUUCGCCAUGUUGGUUAGGUUGGUCUUGAACUCCUGACCUCAGGUGAUCCACCUGCCUCAGCCCCGCAAGUGCUGGAGUUACAGGCAAAAGCCACUGCUCCAGGACGUUUUUUUAAAAGUGAAAGCAAGUUUAUUAAGAAAGUAAAGGAAUAAAGAAUGACUACUCCAUAAGCAGAGCAGCCCAGAGGACUACUCGUUGCCCAUUUUUACAGUUAUUUAUUGAUUAUAUGCUUAACAAGGGGUGGAUUAUUCAUGAGUUUUCCAGGAAAGAGGUGGGCAAUUUCCGGAACUGAGGAUUCCUUCCCUUUUCAGACCAUAUAGCAUAAGUUUCUGGCAUUGCUAUGCCAUUUGUAAACUGUCAUCAUGCUGGUGGAAACAUAGCAGUGAGGAUGACCAAAGGUCACUCUCCUCACAGUCUUGGUUUUGGUGAGUUUUAGCUGGCUUGUUUAUUGCAAGCUGUUUUGUCAGCAAAGUCUUUAUGACCUGUAUCUUGCGCCAACCUCCUGUCUCAUCCUGUGACUAAGAAUGCCUUAAUCUCCUGAGAAUGCAGUUCUCAGGCUUAUUUUACCCAGCCCCUAUUCAAGAUGCAGUUGCUCUGGUUCAAAUGCCUCUGACAUUUCCUGCCCCCCUCCCUUUUAUAAGAGAACCCUUAAUCCUAAGGGUUGUAAAGGGACAAAGAUCCAUCUUUUGUAACUUCUUCAUGAUGAAUAGGGGUGAAUGCCUUGGUAAAACAAUUUUACCAAGGCUUUGACUGGAAUAUCUGACUGAGCUCCUCUCUACCCUGAAUAUAAGACGCAUGUCAGAAAGCAUCAGUAUGGUGAGAGCCAAUCAUAACUCUGAGUUCAAACAAAAGGUGAUAUCUGGAAGAUUAAUAAGUGUUCAAUUUAAGAAAACAUUUAGUAAUUUUAUUUUGCAUUUCUACUUGAAGAGUACAGCUGCAAUAUAUUUCACAAGAGCAAAGCAAAAUAAGCAAAAUUAUUCCAAGUAAACCGAAUUAGAAGGCUUUCCAUGAACUGGGCAGUUGUUGGAACCAAGCUUCUAUGAGGUUGCUAGCUAAUUCCAGUACAUGCCCAGAAUUAGAAUAUUGAUCCAAAUUUUUACAUUACUUAUUCCUCUUGUUUCUUCUGAGCAGCAGCUAGAGAUCACUAGUUGGUUUACAGGAAUGAGCAGGGUUAGUCUAAAUUGCCGAAAAAAGAAACCUCAAAAACAACUGAUGAGACUAGAAUUUAAGAACAGGUAUACCAUAGUUUUUGAAACCUAAUUUUUCUCUUUCCACUCUCCCAUUUUUACUAAAGGCAAAUCAUGGUAAGAUUGAUUUGGUUGCCAAAUAAGUUUUAGCUUUAUACUUGGCCUAAUUAUUUGUAUAAAGUGCAGCAAGAAUAAUUAUUUUUCACAUAGGCUUUUUAAAUUGGCUUCAUUGGAACUCUGGUCCAUAGAAGGAAUGUCAGAUGAGACUUUUUGAAAGCCAAUCCCAGCUAUGAGCUUAUGCCCUCAAAUACCUAUGAGUUGAAUAAAUUUCUCUCCUCUCGAGGUCCCAAGGUAACUUGGGGCUUCUGGGCCAGUCAGAAAGUAACAUUCUUUACUUACCACAGAUCAGAACCCCUGUACACGGACUCUGUAGACAAAGUA